CAGACCGUACUCAGCCGGACAGGUCGGGACAAUCCACUUCAACUGAUGCACGAGUUCGAGCCCAGUGUGGUACCACAAUACAUUGCCGACAAAGUAGACAGUAUACUGUGUCGGUACAGACUGGACGAAGUGAGGAUCGCCAGUCAUGGGGCAGCAAGUUUCCAUGUGUGGGCUGAUGAAAAGUUGGAUCAGGUGUAUGCCCUAAAUGGCUGGAAGCGAAGAAAGCAAUAAUCCCAGUAAAAGCAUGAUGAAAACAAGCAUGUACAUUCAGUGCUUUGUGUUACGAUCAAAAUAUAUGUAUAUGUACAACGUACUGCAGACUGACGAUGGUCAUCGGGUCGGGAACAACGAAUGAAGACGUGGUUAACGCUUCGAACUACUUCUCGCUUCGUCCGAAAACAUACUUGUACCGUGAUAAGUAAAGUUGCUUCAUAGUUAGUGACAAUACCCUGAUGAGUUGUUCAGUACUAUAGACUCUCAAGCGUGAGGAAUAAAAAGAGGGACUAAUAUUUUCAGGAAGAGAAUGGCAACUGAGCCUUAAUGGGUUGCCAAGUUCACAUCGUGCAAACUACUGGAAAACAAUUAUGAGAAGUGAAGUAAUCAACAAUUCAAUACAAGCCUGCAAUGGAGGUUUGGAGAAUUGGACGAUAAAACAAGGUUAAACAACAUACAUCUGGACCAAUGAGUGAGUGAGUGAGUGAGUUUGGUUUAACGCCACAUUGAACAUUACUCCAGAUUGGUCACAGUGUGUUAGCUUGAUGGGUGAAUAGCCUGGCGUAAUGCAGGAACAUUCAAUAUGGGACACCGAGACAGAACAGGACGACGACUGGACCACGCCCAAGGGACGUAACUUUAAAUUGUACCAUAUGAACACCUGUACUAUGCUGAAGGAUAUACGCAGGUGUUUCUUCAGUACGCAGUGGUCGGUGUUUUCAACAACAUUCUAUUUUCACGCUCAUCCGGACCAUACCUUGUGUAUAUAUACAGUCAUGCUCCUGUCGAACAAUAUUACAUUGAGUUCUGUUUAUUAUCAAAGUCCAAACCCAAACGUAGGCAUAUCGUAUAUUAACCGUUAUAAGGGCUGUUUAAAUACUAGACAGUGUACAUGUACUUUUACGACGACAGUAAUUAGGCUGUAAGGAACAAGACAGAGCAACCAAUUAUUAAAUAUUUACUAUGCAUCCAAUUACGUUUUUUUUUAGAUUAUGAUUGUUUUUCUUUGCUAAGCUCAAGAGUUGAUUGGUUAUCAAUAAUGUAUUGAAUUCCUGCAGUCAUUUCUUUGUGUUUGCCUGCCUUCACCUUGGUGAUAGCGUUACAAUAACAUAUGCUCCAACUGAAAAUAAAUACUUUUCGUGGCUGUA